rnacentral:rRNA from 1 species
CCUACGGGGUGCAGCAGUGGGGAAUUUUGGACAAUGGGCGCAAGCCUGAUCCAGCUAUUCCGCGUGUGGGAAGACGGCCUUCGGGGUGUAAACCACUUUUGUAGAGAACGAAAAGUCUGUUGAUAAUACCGAUAGAUGAUGACGGUACUCUAAGAAUCAGCACCGGCUAACUAAGUGCCAGCGACCGCGGUAAUACGUAGGGUGCGAGCGUUAAUCGGAAUUACUGGGCGUAAAGGGUGGUUGGGCGGGUUUGCAAGAUGGAUGUGAAAGCCCCGGGCUUAACCUGGGAAAGCCAUACAUGACUGCAAGACUAGAGUAUCAGAGAGGAUUGCAGAAUGCCUGGUGUAGCGGUGAAAUGCGUAGAUAUCAGGAGGAAUACCGUUAGCGAAGGCGGCAAUCUGGCUGGAAACUGACGCUGAGGUGCGAAAGCGUGGGUAGCAAACAGGAUUAGAUACCCGUGUAGUC